rnacentral:rRNA from 1 species
UGGGGAAUAUUGGGCAAUGGGCGCAAGCCUGACCCAGCGACGCCGCGUGGGUGAUGAAGGCCUUCGGGUUGUAAAGCCCUGUCAUGUGGAAAGAACAGUCCCGUGGUGAAUAUCCACGGGAUUUGACGGUACCACAGGAGGAAGCACCGGCUAACUCCGUGCCAGCAGCCGCGGUAAUACGGAGGGUGCAAGCGUUGUUCGGAAUUAUUGGGCGUAAAGGGCGCGUAGGCGGUUGUGAAAGUCAGAUGUGAAAUACUUCGGCUCAACUGAAGAACUGCAUCUGAAACUUCAUAACUCGAGUACAGGAGAGGGAAACGGAAUUCCCGGUGUAGAGGUGAAAUUCGUAGAUAUCGGGAGGAACACCAGUGGCGAAGGCGGUUUCCUGGCCUGAUACUGACGCUGAGGCGCGAAAGCGUGGGGAGCAAACAG